rnacentral:rRNA from 1 species
AGGAUGAACGCUGGCGGCGUGCUUAACACAUGCAAGUCGAACGGUGAACCAGGUGCUUGCACUUGGGGAUCAGUGGCGAACGGGUGAGUAACACGUGAGCAACCUGCCCCUGACUCUGGGAUAAGCGCUGGAAACGGUGUCUAAUACUGGAUACGAGUAGUGAUCGCAUGGUCAGCUACUGGAAAGAUUUAUUGGUUGGGGAUGGGCUCGCGGCCUAUCAGCUUGUUGGUGAGGUAAUGGCUCACCAAGGCGUCGACGGGUAGCCGGCCUGAGAGGGUGACCGGCCACACUGGGACUGAGACACGGCCCAGACUCCUACGGGAGGCAGCAGUGGGGAAUAUUGCACAAUGGGCGCAAGCCUGAUGCAGCAACGCCGCGUGAGGGAUGACGGCCUUCGGGUUGUAAACCUCUUUUAGCAGGGAAGAAGCGAGAGUGACGGUACCUGCAGAAAAAGCACCGGCUAACUACGUGCCAGC